rnacentral:tRNA from 1 species
GCCCCACUGGCUCAGUCGGUAGAGCAUGCAAUUUUUGAUCUCAGAGUCAUUAGUUCAAGCCCCAUGUUGGGCA